GCUCUCCGGAGAAGUCCGCUUCAUUUAUGAAGCAAAAGGAUGCCGAAGGUGCAAGGUUCUCUUAAUUCAGGAACUAAUCUCUCAGGCAAAAGGACGGAGUU
rnacentral:ncRNA from 1 species